AGUUGCUCCGGCGGCGCGCGGGAAGGGAGCCAGCAGCCUAGGGCCCAGGCCCGGGCCACCAUGGCGCUGCCUCCGGGCCCAGCCGCCCUCCGGCACACACUGCUGCUCCUGCCAGCCCUUCUGAGCUCAGCUGCAGGAGGCCAGCACCUCAAGACUGCUGAGCGUGGGAGGGGAGGCCUUCUCUGGAGGCACCAGCACCUUCACUGUCACUGCCCAUCGGGCCCAGCAUGAGCUCAACUGCUCCCUGCAGGACCCCAGCAGUGGCCGAUCAGCCAACGCCUCUGUCAUCCUUAAUGUGCAAUGUGAGUGGCCCUGAGGUGGGCAGGGAGAGAGGUUCUUUGCCCAGGGACCCCCAGCACCCACCAGGCAGGUGGUCUGCAGGACAUUUAGCAGACACUUAAGCACUUUGCAAAUAUGAACUCAUUUGAUCCUCUGAGUAACCCCAUGAGGUCAUUACUAUUGUCGUCACCAUUUUACAAAUAAGAAAACUGAGGCAGAAAGAGGUAAGCAAUCUGCCCAGGGUGAUGAUCCCGCUGGUAAGAAGCA
rnacentral:sRNA from 1 species